rnacentral:rRNA from 1 species
UACGAAGGGUGCAAGCGUUAAUCGGAAUUAUUGGGCGUAAAGGGCGCGUAGGCGGUUUUUUAAGUCGGAUGUGCAAUCCCCAGGCUCAACCUGGGAACUGCAUCCGAGACUGGAAGGCUAGAGUACUGGAGAGGGUGGUGGAAUUCCUCGUGUAGCGGUGAAAUGCGUAGAGAUGAGGAGGAACACCAGUGGCGAAGGCGGCAUCCUGGACCGGCAUUGACGCUGAGGCGUGAAAGCCAGGGGAGCAAACGGG